AACUACACAUGCAAGUAUCCGCAUCCCCGUGAAGACGCCCUCAAUCUCCCGCCCGGAAAUAAGGAGCUGGUAUCAGGCACAGUUAAACCCUAGCCCAAGACACCUUGCUUAGCCACACCCCCAAGGGUAUUCAGCAGUGAUAAACAUUAAGCCAUAAGUGAAAGCUUGACUUAAUUAUAGCCGAAUAGAGCCGGUAAAUUCUCGUGCCAGCCACCGCGGUUAGACGGGUGGCUCAAGUUGAUAGACAACGGCGUAAAGAGUGGUUAAGGAGAUCUUAAAAACUAAAGCCGAACGCCCUCAAAGCUGUUAUACGUUUAAUCGAAGACAUGAAGCCCAACCACGAAAGUGGCUUUAACCAACCCUGACCCCACGAAAGCUGUGAAACAAACUGGGAUUAGAUACCCCACUAUGCACAGUCCUAAACUCCGAUAGGCCUUUACACCCCCUAUCCGCCCGGGCAGUACGAGCAUUAGCUUAAAACCCAAAGGACCUGGCGGUGCUUUACAUCCAUCUAGAGGAGCCUGUUCUAGAACCGAUAUUCCACGUUGAACCUCACCUUCUCUUGUAAUUUUUCAGCCUGUAUACCGCCGCCAUAAACUUACCCUGUGAAGGGCCCGUAGUGAGUAAAAUUGGUAAAUCACCCCAAUAUGUCAGGUCGAGGUGCAGUUAAUGAGAAGGGAAGAAAUGGGCUACAUUCCCUGGAUCAGGGAAUCACGGACUAUAUCCUGAAACGGACAUAACACAAGGAGGAUUUAGUAGUAAGGGGAAAUCAAAAAAUUCCACUGAAAUCUGGCUCUAAAGCGCGCACACACCGCCCGUCACCCUCCCCGAUAUCUGAGUCUAAACUCACUUCAUA
rnacentral:rRNA from 1 species